rfam:Podospora anserina complete mitochondrial genome
AGGAUCUUAGUAUAAUGGUAAUACAUGUGACUUUUAAUCAUUCGGUCAUCGGUUCGAAUCCGGUAGAUCCUA